UACGGAGGGUGCAAGCGUUAUCCGGAUUCACUGGGGUUAAAGGGUGCGUAGGUGGGUUGGUAAGUCAGUGGUGAAAUCCCCGAGCUUAACUUGGGAACUGCCAUUGAUACUAUCAGUCUUGAAUAUUGUGGAGGUUAGCGGAACAUGUCAUGUAGCGGUGAAAUGCUUAGAUAUGACAUAGAACACCAAUUGCGAAGGCAGCUGGCUACGCAUAUAUUGACACUGAGGCACGAAAGCGUGGGGAUCAAACAGG
rnacentral:rRNA from 1 species